rnacentral:rRNA from 1 species
AACGAACGCUGGCGGCAUGCCUAACACAUGCAAGUCGAACGAGACCUUCGGGUCUAGUGGCGCACGGGUGCGUAACGCGUGGGAAUCUGCCCUUUGCUUCGGAAUAACAGUUAGAAAUGACUGCUAAUACCGGAUGAUGUCUUCGGACCAAAGAUUUAUCGGCAAAGGAUGAGCCCGCGUAGGAUUAGGUAGUUGGUGGGGUAAAGGCCUACCAAGCCGACGAUCCUUAGCUGGUCUGAGAGGAUGAUCAGCCACACUGGGACUGAGACACGGCCCAGACUCCUACGGGAGGGCAGCAGUGGGGAAUAUUGGGACAAUGGGCGAAAGCCUGAUCCAGCAAUGCCGCGUGAGUGAUGAAGGCCUUCGGUC